AAUCAAAAGCACUGUCAUUUGCCCAAAAAGCAUGUCCGUUUGUCAAAAGCAAAUCAUGGGUCCCCUGCUAAACGGCAAGAUCAUUCAAGAUAAAGAAUCAAAACGUUAGCCCACAAACAAUCCUUGACAUUAUUGCAAAAUUUUCCAAAACCUUCUGUAUAAAAUCUCACUCUCAUCUGACAUUCCCUGACCGUCUUUUCUUCCUUCCUUCCUUCCUUCUUUCUUUCAAGGUUGAGGAAAUGAACCCAUCCAGCAAUUUCAGCUACUUCGCUUCCUCCACCGCAACAGUCACUUACUCUUUCCAUAAUGACCAUACUACCCCUACAAAAACCAUUGAAAUCCCCAUCAAGCCCUCCUCCCCCAAAUCCACCACCCAAUCAAGCACUGCCACUUCUGCUGCCACCAAGAUCCAAUCUUGCUACAGGACACAUAUGAUCCGAACCCUUUACAAGAAAAUCUCAGCUGUUAGUUCUGAAGCUGAUCAGUUACAAAACCAAAUCCAACGCCAGGAAACAGUGGAUGCAAUAAGAAGUAGCGAGAAAGAAAAGCUGGGGAUGAAUGAGGCCUUGAUGGGCUUGCUUCUGAGGCUCGAUUCAGUACCGGGGGUUGAUCCAACGGUGAGAGAAGCAAGAAGGAAAGUCAGCCGUAGGAUUGUGGGGUUGCAGGAAAUAUUGGACUCAAUAUGUGAAGCAAAAGUUGGUGCUGAUGGUGGUGACUAUUUUGGGUGGCAGUGGGACCCUUAUGGUGGAUGGGAUAUGGUGUUGGAGGAGAUGGAGGAGGAGAUUUGUAUGGAGAGAGGUGGUGAAGAAAUGGAGAAGUUUUGUGCUCAAUAUCUUGGGUUUAGAUGCUUGCAGAGGUUUUUGAAAGAACCAUGAAAGAAAGAUUGGAACUUUUGAUCCUUUUGUGCCUAAAGAUCAAAACUUUUAGUUGUACAAAACCGGAAAUGCAAGAAAGCUGACCGGAGAAUAGCUCCUGCUUCUGCCGGAGAAAUAUCAACAUUCAACACAAAUUGUCAUGGCAGCAAGUAUAAAGCCUGUUGUAAUUUCCCGGUUCCUCAUAUUUACAGCAACAACAAAGUGACUCCGUUGCCAAAAGCUU